UAGGGAAUCUUCGGCAAUGGACGAAAGUCUGACCGAGCAACGCCGCGUGAGUGAAGAAGGUUUUCGGAUCGUAAAACUCUGUUGUUAGAGAAGAACAAGGACGUUAGUAACUGAACGUCCCCUGACGGUAUCUAACCAGAAAGCCACGGCUAACUACGUGCCAGCAGCCGCGGUAAUACGUAGGUGGCAAGCGUUGUCCGGAUUUAUUGGGCGUAAAGCGAGCGCAGGCGGUUUCUUAAGUCUGAUGUGAAAGCCCCCGGCUCAACCGGGGAGGGUCAUUGGAAACUGGGAGACUUGAGUGCAGAAGAGGAGAGUGGAAUUCCAUGUGUAGCGGUGAAAUGCGUAGAUAUAUGGAGGAACACCAGUGGCGAAGGCGGCUCUCUGGUCUGUAACGGACGUUGAGGCUCGAAAGCGUGGGGAGCAAACAGG
rnacentral:rRNA from 1 species